UUUUUUUCUUGAUUUUCCUAAAUAGAAGUCCAUUGGGCAAAACAUGAGGAAUAUAUGCGGCUAUGCAGAAUUAUGCAAACGAGAGCUAAUGAGUGUUCUAGACAUGGAUAUUAACGGAACACUAUCGUCACCCUAUUUGACCUCCCUUCACUCAAGAACAGAACCCUUUCUUCUAUUUUUGGAGCUCUACGCCUUCAAAUCAGCCGCAGAAAAUACUCCAAGAGAUUUGCCAUUCAAGUCGGAGACCUCAUAUGAGCUUGUCCCUUUCUUGGCGACGAUAAUACACUGAGUAUACGGAGGACCAAGCUUCGCAUUAAAAGCAUUGCCCGCCGAUGAUUGUCGGAAUGAUCGUUUGUAGACAAGUUGUCCGACAUUAAACGUGGCAAUGUUGCUGAUAUUGGCGGCGAGCAUCGUGGUACGAUAUUCCCCGCGUGUGUUCCGGAAAAGAACAUCGAACUUCCGUUUUUCAUCCCAAGGAACUGACAUACCCCGGAAGAUCCGGACCAUGUCCAAAUAAUAGUCCUGAAACUUCUCUCUUGCCCCUUGCUUCCGGUUGUUGGCUUGCCGCUCAUAGACGUAAUCGAUAUCGACAGGCGGUUUCGCAGUACUCUCUCAAGCUGACUGCGCGGAGCAUCGUGAACUAGCUGACGAAUUUUCAACUCAUGCUCUAGCUCAUCAACAGAUAAAUGGGCAGUAUUCAUCCCAUGGUACAGCGACAUCAAAUGCCUCAUCUCCAUCUUGAUCACAAAAUUCAAGGAAAAUCACUGAGCGAUAACUUGAAAAAGAAAAAGGUUCGCUCAAGCGAAUCAAGAAAAAAAUCAAACUUUAAAAAUUGUAUUCAAGUUACGCUAAAAUAAACCGAACGUUUUGCCUGGUGUUAUCACUCAACUCUCCCGAAAUGCACUUCAACGUUAAUGAAAAAUGUUCCGGAAUUUUCCGCAAUAUCUAAUAAAUUUACUCCGAAUGAAAAAAAAACUUUAAUCGAUUUCUCUCGUUGUUGGUAGCUUUUCUUACCACCACUGACCUCCAAGACCCCUUCAAAAAUACAGUUAUCAAUAAAUUUCCCUCUUUUUAAUGAAUAUCAGUGCGACUGAAGUCAAAGUUUGCUUGAGAUUUCUGGACGUUUUCCCAGAGACUUCUGCAAAGACGUGUUAUCAACUCUUCAAGUGUUUUUCUUGCUCAAUUAGCCUAAACUAUUUUACUUGGGCGCCAAAGUGUAACUUGCGUAUCGCUACUGCCUAGCAAAUAUGAGACUCCCUUUCUCAUCGCCUCAGGGUCGGCAUACGCUCGUGGCUAAUCGCGGUCAAGAAAACACCUGAUCUUUAUCCUCAAGCAAACACAACUUUUAUUUCCCUUUUCGUCGACACUUUUAUUCUUUUUCUCCCACUUUCUUACUGGCUAUCUCCUACCUUAGCACUUCUUUAUUCUUCGGUUUUCUUCGGGGCCCCUUUUCCACUCCAGUCGUCGUCGCUGCCACUCCACCACCGUACUCCACUGCUUCACUCCGUUGAUUCUGCGGUUCCACACGGUGUUCUACGGCUGCCGCACGUCGCUCGCUACCGGUCGUCUACGCGGCCUCGAGUGUUUGACGAUCUCGAGCUUCGACGAGGGGUUCUAUUCGUCGGCUAUGCCCGGUUUCCCGCGUGAGUAUUCGACGGUCGGACACGGUAGGGCUUUCUGGGUUCACAGAGGUUAUACAAUAAAACCACGGCUUCAAGGUAUGAACUACGUGUUCCUGCGAACACAAUGGGGGAUGUCAAAAUGGCGGAUUGGCUUU